rnacentral:rRNA from 1 species
UACGGAGGAUCCAAGCGUUAUCCGGAUUCAUUGGGUUUAAAGGGUGCGUAGGCGGAAUAGUAAGUCAGUGGUGAAAGCCUGUUGCUUAACAACAGAACUGCCAUUGAUACUGCUAAUCUUGAGUACAUUUGAAGUGGGCGGAAUGUGUCAUGUAGCGGUGAAAUGCUUAGAUAUGACAUAGAACACCCAUUGCGAAGGCAGCUAACUACGCGAUCAUUGACGCUGAUGCACGAAAGCGUGGGGAUCAAACAGG